rnacentral:rRNA from 1 species
UGCGUAGGUGGUAAGGUAAGUCAGGUGUGAAAUCUCCGGGCUCAACCCGGAAAUGGCAUUCGAUACUACCUUGCUAGAGGGUUUGAGGGGGGACGUGGAAUACUUGGUGUAGCAGUGAAAUGCGUAGAUAUCAAGUGGAACACCAGUGGCGAAGGCGAGUCCCUGGAAAACUCCUGACACUGAGGCACGAAAGCUAGGGGAGCAAACA